rnacentral:tRNA from 1 species
GGGAGGAAAAAUUUAAAAAAAUCCGGGAAAUAACGCUGACUCAUAAUCAGGGGGUCGAUGGUUCGAGCCCAUCUGGGCCCA